AAGAAUCAGAUGCUCUUCUGCCUGAGCCAUCCAGGCGCUCCAGCAUUAUGUGAAUUUCAAAUGAAAGAAAUGGAUGGUAUUAUCCAGGAAAAGAGUACAAAUAGAGAAGAAACAGAGGUCCUUGAGGUACCCCUAUUUAAGGUUGAGUUGAAGAGGAAAAGCCAACAAAAUUAAGAGGACCAGGAAUUCUAUUACUUACCCUCAAGA